UAAUACAUGCAAGUCGAGCGAACAGAUAAGGAGCUUGCUCCUUUGACGUUAGCGGCGGACGGGUGAGUAACACGUGGAUAACCUACCUAUAAGACUGGGAUAACUUCGGGAAACCGGAGCUAAUACCGGAUAACAUAUUGAACCGCAUGGUUCAAUAGUGAAAGGCGGCUUUGCUGUCACUUAUAGAUGGAUCCGCGCCGUAUUAGCUAGUUGGUAAGGUAACGGCUUACCAAGGCAACGAUACGUAGCCGACCUGAGAGGGUGAUCGGCCACACUGGAACUGAGACACGGUCCAGACUCCUACGGGAGGCAGCAGUAGGGAAUCUUCCGCAAUGGGCGAAAGCCUGACGGAGCAACGCCGCGUGAGUGAUGAAGGUCUUCGGAUCGUAAAACUCUGUUAUCAGGGAAGAACAAAUGUGUAAGUAACUGUGCACAUCUUGACGGUACCUGAUCAGAAAGCCACGGCUAACUACGUGCCAGCAGCCGCGGUAAUACGUAGGUGGCAAGCGUUAUCCGGAAUUAUUGGGCGUAAAGCGCGCGUAGGCGGUUUUUUAAGUCUGAUGUGAAAG
rnacentral:rRNA from 1 species